CUAAUGUGCUCAUGAAGGAUGCUCCUGCACCCACCCCCUACAUUUUCUUUGGAAGUUUACUUUCAGUGAGAGACAUAAUUUAUCUUUUGUCACAUUAAUGUCGUUAAUAUAAAAAUGUGUGACAACUUUAAGGAGCGCAAGGGGACAGAGCUAGCAGGACUUGUUGUAUUUGUUUUGAGGAUGAACGAGCUGAGAAGCUGAAGCUGGAGCAGAGUAAGGAGGACUUUAAGGUGGACAAGAGAACUACACGAGACAGGAGGAUGACAUCACCUGAGCAGCUUCAAACUGAACAGCAGGAGGAACCCCUGAAACAAGCACCUGGCCCACAGUGAACUCUCACCAGGAUAAAUCCAAUCAUCUUCAGCCACACAGCUCGUGGCAGCUGUUGCAUUAGGCAACUUUCCAAAGAGGAGAAAGGGAGGGAAGGAGGAAAAAGAAAGAAAGAAGGAACAAAGAGCCUUGUCUUGAUUAUAGCUUCAACAUUCCCAAACGACUCGGAGUGUCACUUAUUCCACUGAGCCGGACGGUUUCUCGACUUGGUGUAAAAGUUUGCUGUGUGUGUGUGUGUGUGUGUGUGUGUGUGUGUGUGUGUGUGUGUGUGUGUGUGUGUGUGUGUGUGUGUGUGUG